rnacentral:lncRNA from 1 species
UUUUGGACUCAAUUUUAUUUCAGGACAUAAAUAAUCUUUAUAGCAGUAUUCUCUACACAGCACAAGGUUACAAUAUAUUCUCAUAAAUAUAUCUCAUACAAUACAAUUUAAGGUUACAAUAUUUUCUUACAAAUAUAUCUUAUACAAUACAAUUAAAGUGUAGACAUCAUGUAGAUUUUCUGAUGAAAAUAAAUGUAUGUAUUUAGCUACAAAAAUAAAUAGGCUUUUAAAAAAAAUCGCAAAUAAUUAACAUGAAUGGCUACAGAUUUACUGUAGUUCCUAUGAAAUGAGUGGAACCACACAUUUGGCUGAGAGGAAAGAAAGGCUGCAUCCCAAAUGGCACCCUAUUCCCUAUAUAGUGCACUACUUUAGACCAGAGCCCUAUGGACCCAUGUCAAAAGAAGUGCACUAUAAAGGGAAUAGGGUGCCAUUUGGGAAGCAGACAAAAUAAGAACCCCAACAAGCACCAUAUCAACACCACUAAUACAUUCCAAUUCAUUUGCAUAAUUCACACAACCCGUUAAGAACAACUUCUUCCACAGAAUUUCCACAUCCAAUUGACAAUUUACCUUCAGAGAUGAAACAGUAUUAGACAGUAUAAGACAGUAUGAGACAGUAUGAGACAGUAUGAGACAGUAUGAAGCAGUAUGAGACAGUAUGAGACAGUAUGACACAGUAUGAGACAGUAUGAAGCAGUAUGAAGCAGUAUAAGACAGUAUGAAGCAGUAUGAAGCAGUAUAAGACAGUAUGAAGCAGUAUGAAGCAGUAUUAAACAGUAUGAAACCGUAUGAAGCAGUAUGAGACAGUAUGAAGCAGUAUGAAGCAGUAUAAGACAGUAUGAAGCAGUAUGAAGCAGUAUAAGACAGUAUGAAGCAGUAUGAAGCAGUAUUAAACAGUAUGAAACCGUAUGAAGCAGUAUGAGACAGUAUGAAGCAGUAUGAAGCAGUAUAAGACAGUAUGAAGCAGUAUGAAGCGGUAUGAAGCCGUAUGAGACAGUAUGAAGCAGUAUGAAGCAGUAUGAGACAGUAUGACACAGUAUGAAGCAGUAUGAAGCAGUACUGAAUAUUGCACAGAAUCUAUACUAGCUAUAGCUGUGGAAAUACCUCUAGAAAUACUGUACGGUAAACAUAUCCGUCUCAAGUUUAAAGGCACGGACAAACCGGUAGCGUUUGCCGGCCGAGAGUACUUAGCACCUCUGAACAGAUUGCCAGCCGUAAUUUGCAAACCGACAUUAAAGUGCCUGUCAUCCUUUAGACCAGAGGUCUCCAACCCUUUUCCUGGAGAGGUACCCUCCUGUAGGUUUACAUCAGGGCUCUCCAACCCUGUUCCUGGAGAGAUACCCUCCUGUAGGUUUACA